rnacentral:lncRNA from 1 species
AUGGUGCCCCAUGUAGCUCAGUUGGUAGAGCAUGGUGCCCCUGUAGCUCAGUUGAUAGAGCAUGGUGCCCCUGUAGCUCAGUUGGUAGAGCAUGGUGCCCCUGUAGCUCAGUUGGUAGAGCAUGGUGCCCCUGUAGCUCAGUUGGUAGAGCAUGGUGCCCCUGUAGCUCAGUUGGUAGAGCAUGGUGCCCCUGCAGCUCAGUUGGUAGAGCAUGGUGCCCCUGUAGCUCAGUUGGUAGAGCAUGGUGCCCCUGUAGCUCAGUUGGUAGAGCAUGGUGCCCCUGUAGCUCAGUUGGUAGAGCAUGGUGCCCCUGUAGCUCAGUUGGUAGAGCAUGGUGCCCCUGUAGCUCAGUUGGUAGAGCAUGGUGCCCCUGUAGCUCAGUUGGUAGAGCAUGGUGCCCCUGUAGCUCAGUUGGUAGAGCAUGGUGCCCCUGUAGCUCAGAUGGUGGUAGAGCAUGGUGCCCUUGUAGCUCAGAUGGUGGUAGAGCAUGGUGCCCCUGUAGCUCAGAUGGUGGUAGAGCAUGGUGCCCCUGUAGCUCAGAUGGUGGUAGAGCAUGGUGCCCCUGUAGCUCAGAUGGUGGUAGAGCAUGGUGCCCCUGUAGCUCAGUUGGUGGUAGAGCAUGGUGCCCCUGUAGCUCAGUUGGUGGUAGAGCAUGGUGCCCCUGUAGCUCAGUUGGUGGUAGAGCAUGGUGCCCCUGUAGCUCAGUUGGUGGUAGAGCAUGGUGCCCCUGUAGCUCAGUUGGUGGUAGAGCAUGGUGCCCCUGUAGCUCAGUUGGUGGUAGAGCAUGGUGCCCCUGUAGCUCAGUUGGUGGUAGAGCAUGGUGCCCCUGUAGCUCAGUUGGUGGUAGAGCAUGGUGCCCCUGUAGCUCAGUUGGUGGUAGAGCAUGGUGCCCCUGUAGCUCAGUUGGUGGUAGAGCAUGGUGCCCCUGUAGCUCAGUUGGUGGUAGAGGAUGGUGCCCCGGUAGCUCAGGUGGUGGUAGAGCAUGGUGCCCCGGUAGCUCAGGUGGUGGUAGAGCAUGGUGCUUGA